CUGGCGGACAUAGUGCGGGAGGGACUUCGGCUCCGCCAACAGCAUAUGUACAGAUUGCAGAAUUGUGGUCAAGAAGUAAUCAGGUCACAUCACUUCACUGAUCGGCUUCAAUUCCGCACUUUCAUCAUGUGCCCUCAAGUGAAUAGUCAAUCCACCAUGGCACCCUGAGAGAACAACCAAGGUCCAGCACCCUAGCAAGCAGCACUGCCUUGCACCGAAAGUUGUCUGUAUAAUCAGGUGUCUUCAUGAUUGAGUUUUAAAGCAAAUGUCUUCUUCAACGUAAUGCCGAGACCACUUUGAGU